CGGCGAGUGAAGCGGCAAAAGCUCAAAUUUGAAAUCUGGUACCUUCGGUGCCCGAGUUGUAAUUUGGAGAGGGCAACUUUGGGGCCGUUCCUUGUCUAUGUUCCUUGGAACAGGACGUCAUAGAGGGUGAGAAUCCCGUGUGGCGAGGAGUGCGGUUCUUUGUAAAGUGCCUUCGAAGAGUCGAGUUGUUUGGGAAUGCAGCUCUAAGUGGGUGGUAAAUUCCAUCUAAAGCUAAAUAUUGGCGAGAGACCGAUAGCGAACAAGUACAGUGAUGGAAAGAUGAAAAGAACUUUGAAAAGAGAGUGAAAAAGUACGUGAAAUUGUUGAAAGGGAAGGGCAUUUGAUCAGACAUGGUGUUUUGUGCCCUCUGCUCCUUGUGGGUAGGGGAAUCUCGCAUUUCACUGGGCCAGCAUCAGUUUUGGUGGCAGGAUAAAUCCAUAGGAAUGUAGCUUGCCUCGGUAAGUAUUAUAGCCUGUGGGAAUACUGCCAGCUGGGACUGAGGACUGCGACGUAAGUCAAGGAUGCUGGCAUAAUGGUUAUAUGCCGCCCGUCUUGAAACACGGACC
rnacentral:sRNA from 1 species